UCACUUAGCGUAAUACACUCAAGGUCCAUCCAUGUUGUCACAAAUGGCCGGAUUUCGUCAUUUCUUAUGGUUGAGUAGCAGUCCAUCGUGUAUAAAUCCUUAUUAUGUCCUUCCUCUGCUUGCUUUAGGUAGACCCAAGUUUCUGGCCUAUAUGAUUUUCCUUCUGCCUGAAGAACGUCUCUUAGCAUUUCUUGGAAGGCAGGUUUCCUGGCGAUUAAUUUGCUCAACUUUUAUUUGUCUGAGAAACUAUUUAUUCCUUUUUCACUUUUGAAUGAUAAUUAUCUGGCAGUAGAAUUCCAGAUUAUGACUACAGAGGAUUCUGAUUCAGGGAGGCAGAUCUCGGUUUUGACACUCUGGAUUCCACUCUUGCGCCAGAGUUUACGUGGUGGUUUGCCCUGCCAGCUCAGUUCUGUGAGGAGUCUAAAAUAUAGGUGGAUUCAGUUUUUCCAGCGUUUUCUUGUUUUAAGGAUGGGAUUGGUGAUCUCUGCCCUCUCUAUAUGUUGGGGCUGAAACCAGAAGCUUUAUUUGUGACCAUUUUUGAAAUAUGCCACAAUCAGUAUAAGCCUAUGAGUUUCAAAUAUCAUGGUUGACAUAAAUGGUGUCAUGAGGUGGGAUCCAAAGGAGGUGACCCCUCGAGAGACGAUGCGCCCUGGAGCCAAGCAAGGUACUCACACCGAGGCCCUUGAAUUCAUUGUUUCCAGGAGUCGCUGCCUGCUUUCAGGUUGGUGAGUCCCCUCUUGGAUUUCGGGCUCCACGCCCCUGGGGAUCUGAGCCUCUGACUUUAUUUGGGAUCCGGAGAGGCUUUGUCCUCUCGAGGGAGGGACUUUGUCCUUCCGGUUCGAGGCUCUGUCCUUGGGCUCAAGGCAUCAUCCUUGGUGAGUAUUCAAUUGUUUUCUGAAGGCAGCACAGCUCCUUUUGGGGCUCGGGCUUGCUGAAAAUCCAGGUGUUUUUCUUUGGUUUCCAGAUUCCUUUUGGAAUCAGGGAUGAGAAUCCGACAACUUUCUUUUGUUUUUAGAUGCUUUUGGGGAUGAGGGCUAGGACCUUAGCAACUUCCUCGGGUUUUCAGAGGAAAUUUCAGAAAUGGGACCCCGAUCACCUAAAUGUUCGGAGGGAAACCCUCCUUCAGGGACCCCAGCUGAGUUUAUACUUGAGAACUUUGGGCCCCCCGCAUGCAUGUUUCUAACUAAAUGGGCCAAACUGACCAAGAGUAGUUUGGAAUUACAGUGGCCAUUAUGGGGAACUUUAGAUCUCCCUAAACUCAUUUUUCUUAAAAAAACAAAUUGGAAGACCGCAGCUCUAAAAUUAAGCAGAACAAGUGAUACGUUGAUUUUAAUUGGUACCUGGAGGCUUCCAAGUGUGCACAGAGCUCUAAAAUUGUCUCACUGCAAGAUACUGUAUCUAAACUAGCCAAAACAGCUGAAAAACUGAGGGAGAAUAAAAUGGCUUCUGAGGCCUCUCCUUCCCUUCCCCUGUUUUCUUUGUCUUAUGCUCAGGCCCUACCUCCAAUCCCANNNNNNNNNNNNNNNNNNNNNNNNNA
rnacentral:lncRNA from 1 species